GGCCCAGGAGUGAUAAGCGUGAACUAGAGAGUGCUGUGCAGGAGGAAGCUGGGGCCGCCGUCGGGCCUUCUCCCUCCAGGGGCCCAAGAGCCACUGGUACUCAGUGUCUGGGUGGGGGCAGGGGGGAUUUUUGUUCUCCCAGCACCUGCGGCUGUUGAGACCAGAGAAGCUGGUGGUCGACCACAGCCUGGGGUAUUAGUUCACCCCUAGCUUCUCCCCAGCGAGACCCCAGGGCCCUUGGGCACAGGGGAUUAAGCCUCUAUCUGCUUACGUGCAAGCGGAAGAAAUAGGCCCAGAGAGCAACAGUGGCGGGUCUGCAGUCACACAGCCAACUUGCGCUUGUGGCAGUGGCAAGGUUGGUGAGUAUCUGAGUCUUCAGGCCACGGCAUUUUCCGCUCGAGUGGAGCCUGGAAGCUGGUUCAGUGGGGCUGUCGACCACAGGUACCAACCCUGCCCUCCCCUACAGAGUAUGUGACGUAGGCACAGCCAAUGACUGCAUCCCAGUGCUUCGACCAGUCACAGGGUCAAGGAAGUUCUGAGGGUACCCCUCACUCAAGCUCCAGGCGUCAGGAAAAGAACAUUCCACGAAGUCCAUCUGGAAGACGGUCCUUUCCCUGCUGCCCCCAGAUACCAGGUGUUUCUGCCACUACCUUUGCCAGAUAUGUACCCUCUGACACCUGCUUCUCUUGUUGGUGGCUUUUGGACACAAGCCUGAUGCUGCUGCAGGUGGAUGCCAACUUGGGCUGGGGCCAUCUCCAAGGUGUCCUCCCUCUCACGGCCUGUGCCUGGGCUGGGAAGAUGUGAGCAGAGGUGAACUUUACAGGUGAGGCUCCCCGGGCACCUCUCCAGCAUGGUGAGGUCAGGGUAGCUGGUCUUCUAACGUCAUCUUGGGGCUCCUAAGUUGUGUGCCUCAAGCCAGGCAGAAGCUGUCACACAUUGUCCCUUUUACUACAUUCUAUUGAGGCAGCUAUAAAAAGUUACAAAGGGGGCCGGGUGUGGUGGCUCAUGCCUGUAAUCCCAGCACUUUGGGAGGCUGAGGUGGGUGGA
rnacentral:lncRNA from 1 species